ensembl:snRNA U6 U6 spliceosomal RNA
GUGCUCGCUUUGGUAGCACAUAUAUUAAAAUUGGAACGAUACAGAGAAGAUUAGCAUGGCCCUGUGCAAGGAUGACAUGCAAAUUCAUGAAGCGUUCCAUAUUUUU